AUCUCGUCGUCGUCGGUGAAGCUGAAACGAUUAAGGAAGAUUCAGACUUCAAUUAAAAGGACUUCGAAACACAGGUUAGGGCAAAAAAGGUCUGAGAGCCCUAGCGUUGUGAUUAUAUCCGACGAACCCAAGCCAGGACCUUCCAAACAACAAUCUGACUUUGGUCCGACCCAACGGGAGUUAGUGUAUGAUGAUACCGAUAGUGUGUCAGCAAGCCAUGGGAAAAGACGGAAAACAGGUUGUGUGGAAAGAAAAAG